AAUGGCACUGGAAGAAAUCACGGCUUGAAUUAAAAUCCGUGAUUUCUCUGGUGCUGUGAA
rnacentral:pre_miRNA from 1 species